UUAAGAGUAAGGGCUUGUGAAAGGGAAGCAUUUGAUUGUCCAACAAGUAAUAAGCUUUUCCUCAAGCAUCUGACCAUUUUUCUAGGAAGGAAAGAGGCUGCUCCUACAGAAGCCAAAUUCGUCCCUCGUUAACAGGGAGUACUUUGAAUCGUCGAUGUAAGUAGAAGUUAUUUCCUCGAAAAUUCCACGAACAGUUCAGGUUUGCGUUCACUGAUUGUGUUGUUCUUUUUUGAUUUUGGAGAGUGUUCUGGGUCAUUUUGAGGAUUAGUACGUUUUAGUUUUUUUGGCUUGCAUUUAAACACACAUGAUCCUUGAACUAGGGUUCUUUUGAAUGAUUGAUGGUUGUUUUGUUCAGAAAAAGUGAUCUUAUAUUUGUGCAUCUCUAUGUGCAACUUUUGUAUGAGGUUAUUAAGGAAGGAGAUAAUGGUUGAAGAAGGGAGAGAGAAAAGGUAGAGACUGGCUUAAUUCUUUGGUUGAGUAGUAUGAACUUGCAACAGAGCCACCACUCAGUGGCUGUAAGGUAUAAUGGGCAAAAUGAAAGUGAAAAAGAAUGCACAUCCAUUCAAGCCAAGGGGUUUGGAUUCCUAGGUUAUUAUUGCUCUGGGUUUUGUUGGUGGCAUUCAUUAGUAUUGUUAAUCUAUAAGGGAAUGGGAUGGUGUUAACAAGAGUUACAAUAAAGGAAGUUCUGGGCAAUGUGUGUGACCCCAAAGGACAAAGAUGCUUCCGCAUCAAUUUAGUGAUAGUGUUAAACCAUGUCCAUUCUUUGGUCAUUGUCAUUUCUACUUUCCACUACUCGAAAAAUGUAUCAGCAAUUGAUAAUUGCUCAGGUAAAUGUGUUUCGAUUUCUGUCUUUGAUACGUCUCAGUUAGUUAGGCUUAAUAGUAAGGGAGAUAACUCAUUUUUCUUAUUUCAAUAUUUAAGUUUUUAAGGGGAGUUUAGUUGUCUUCUAAGGGGAGUUCAGUUGUUUUUUUUGGGGGGUUUGUUUAGUUAGGCUUAAGACUAAGGACUAGUGAAAGAGGAGCAUUUGAUUGUCUUCUACUCAAUCAUUGAACCAUUUUUCUAGUAAAGAAAGAUGCUUCUUCUUCGGCAACACCAACCCUCGUUAACAGGUUCUACCCAUUACUUUUCAUGUCCUUUUAAUUAAGAUAGUUAUAUAAAUAUAUAUAAAAAUUAAAUAACAUCCAUCUUUGCAUAUUUUUUAAAAAUUAAAUCUAUAACAUUUCAUUUCAUCUCUAAAAUGUGUUGACUUUUAAAAUUUCCUUCAUGUUACCAUUAUAGUCUUAUAUUUGUAUUGUAAUUAGUAAUAAAUAUUAUAAAAUUUUUUCUAUUAACAAAUGAAUGUCAACUACGAGAAAAAGUGUAUUUGAUAAAACUUUUAAAAUAAAUUUGUUGUAAACAAUUUUUUGUUUUGUUCCUUUUAUUGAAGACCAUGUCUUGAUUUUUAGUUUUUUAGAGGUGCUUGGUUGGUUUGAAUGCACGAAACUUUCACUGGUACACGAUUCAAACAGUUGCCCUGUAAUGUUUUUCUAUUUUUUUUCUUUAAUAUUUUUUAAUUUUGCAUGUGUGAUUUCUGUAUAUAUUAUUCUCGCCCUUAGUAAAAAAGGGUCCACAUUAAUUCAUUCAAGCCAAGAGGGCUUGGCUUCCUAAGUGUCAUCAGUAUGGUAAUCUACAGGGGAAUCUAUAGUUAUGAACAUAGUAAGAAGAAUGGAAGUUUUUGGGGAGUAUAUGUGACAAAGAGGGCAAGGAUGCUUCUGCAUCAAUUUAGUAUCAGUGUCAACCAUGUUUAUGCUUUGGCCAUUCUCAUUUCCACUUUCCACUAUUCCAAAAAUGUAUCUGCAAUUGAUCAGGUAAAAGUGUUUGAAUUUUCUGUCUUUGGUUCAUCUCAGUUAGUCAGUCUUAAGAUUAAGGGAGAUAAUUCAUUUUUCUUGUUUCAGCUAGAUAUUACCCUCCUUGUCCUUGUCCUGAUCUUUAAGUUCUUAAAGGGAGUUUAGUUGUGUUUUUAGGUGUGUAUGGUUGUUUUUUUUUAAGGGGUGUUUGGUUUUUUUUUUCAAGCGGUGUUUGGUUUUUUUUUUAGGGGUGUUUGGUUAGUUAGGCUUAGCAAGGGCUAGUGAAGGAGAAACAUGACAAGUAAUAAGCUGCUCCCCAAUCAUUCAACCAUUUUUCUAGUGAAGAAAGAGGCUUCUCCUCCCGCAACCAAAGAAAGUUCGUCCCUCGUCAACAGGCAAGUCUACCCUAUUACUUUUCAUGUCCUUCUAAUGAAGAUAUUUAUAUAAAUGUAUAUAAAAAAUUAAAUAAGAUCCAUCUUUGGAUAUUUUUUAAAAACUAAAUCUAUAAAAUUUCAUUUCAUCUCUAGUAUGUUCUGUCACUUUCAAAAUUUCCUUCAUGUUACUAUUACACUCUUAUAUUUGUAUUGUAAUUAUUAAUAAAAAAUUAAUUUCUUUUUUUGUAAUAAAUGAAUGUUAACUACUGAAAACCUGUAUUUCAUAAAACUUUUAAAAUAAAUUUGUUGCUAGUAAACAAUUUUUUCUUUCGUUCCUUUUAUUGAAGACCAAAGGUAAUUUUGCAACUGAUUGUUUCUGUUUAAUUUUUUCUCAACUUUUGUCCUUCAAGUUCUUUUGUCAAUAAGAAAUAAUAGAAACAAUUUCUAUUACAAUUAAUACUUCAUAAAAUAAAUCUUGAAAUUCUAACAUAUAACUGUGUCAAGAUAAAAAAAUAGAAAUAUGAAUUGAUUAUUUCUUUAGAGUCACAGUUCAUGUAAAGAUUUUCUGCAUAAGAAUAAAUUGAUUAUUUAAUUUGGUCAAGAUGUUCAAAACUUACAUGUGAAAUUUACACUCAAGUGGCUGCAAGGUUUAAUGAAAAAAUUGGAAGUAGAAAAGGGUCCACAUUAAUUCAUUCAAGCCAAGAGGGCUUGGCUUCCUAAGUUUGCUCUGGGUUCUGUUGGUGGCAUUCAUCAGUAUGUUAGUCUAUUGGGGAAUGUAUAACCAUAACGAAGUAAGAAGAAUGGAAGUUCUGGGGGAGUAUGUGUGACAAAGAGGGCAAGGAUGCUUCUGCAUCAAUUUAGUGUCACUGUCAACCAUGUCUAUGCUUGGGCCAUUCUCAUUUCCACUUUCCACUACUCCAAAAAUGUAUCUGCAAUUGAUCAGGUGAAAGUGUUUCAAUUUUCCGUCUUUAGUUCAUCACAAUAAGUUAGUCUUAAGAGUAAGGGAGAUAAUUCGUUUUUCUUGUUCCAGCUAGAUAUUACCCUCCAUGUCUUGAUGUUUAGUUUUUUAGGGGUGCUUGGUUGGUUGGAGUGCAGGAAACUUUUGCUGAUACAAGAUUCAAACAGCUUUCCAUGUCAGGUUUUUCUAUUAUUUUUCUUUAAUAUUUUGGAAAUUUGCACAUGUGAUUUCUGUAUAUAUUAUUCUUGCCCUUUUUCUUUUUCAUCAUUUAUUUUGAUUUUGGAGGAGGGUAACUUGACUUUUCUUUUAGUUUUGGCUGUUAUCUAAUUGAACUAUUUGAUUAUCAAAUAAUUGUGUGACUUUUUCUUCUAGAUGUUUAUAUUCAUUUUUCUCAAACUUUUAGUUUUAUUAAUGUGUGACCGUGUUAGUUUUUUUAUUGAACUAUUGUGUGGCAGUUUUAUUUAUUGGUUAUCUUUAGUUUCACUAUUGUUCUUUUUUUAAUGUUAUCUUAGUUGUUAAUAAGUGUGCAAAAUAUGGAUUUAUCUUUUUCUUUGAACAAAUGUGGAAUUUAUUUUCCUUUUAAUGUAGUUGUGUCCCCAAUAAAAUGAAGUCGCACGUCCAUCAGAAGCAUGGAAAAGGAAUUCUCUCAUAAAAAGGAGAAAAGAAACAAGAAGAUGUGGAAGCCUAAGCCUAUCAAAGGAAAAGACGAGGACUUCUUCCGACCUCGACGUCGAUAACUUUAACAGAAUUCCUCCCAAGAAGUUUCCAUGAUAAUCAUCCAAAGGAAGUAUUAGAAGUCGCUACAUGUCAUGUUGUCAGCAUAGAAGAAGUCGACAACAAUUAUGCAUCUUUUGAAGAAACCGACAAUUCAAAAGAAAUUAAGCAAAUGACUUCUGUCUUUGAUCGUAUCAAGCCUUCAACUACUCGAUCUUCAGUAUUUCAAAGAUUGAGUAUGGCCACGAAAGAAGAAGAAAAUCAAUGUCCAAAGUUUACUUCCACUCGAACUUCAGCUUUCAAAAGACUUGAGUAUCUCCACAUCGAAGAAAUAUCAACCUUCAACAUCUGUUUUUUAUCGACUAAAGAUGACAAACGAUCAACAUAAAAAAGAGAUGAAAACUUUGAAGGUAAAAUCACUUCAUGAAGAAAACAAUAACGAGAAGAUUGACAGUCGUGUCCCAUCACGCAUGAAGAGGAGGUUGUCUGUUGACAUAAAUACAGAAGGUUCAUUGACAGUGAAGCCAAGAGUUAUUAUAUUCACAAAUUCUACAAACAAAGAAGGUGAACAAAUCCUUGAUGGAAGUACGAGUAGCUAAAUAUGCGAAGCUCCUUAUCGCAAGAGCCUAAACUGCAUGGUGCUCCUAGCCCACAAGAGCUUAAAAGGUGAAUGGCAAAAAAAAAAAAAAAUGUUGAAGUACGUUAUGACUUGAUUCCUAUAUUAUAAAGGGUACGUAGGUAGCUUAAGAAAAACCUUAAGUCGAGUCUAGCAAAAACAAUUCAAAAUAAAAAAAUAAAAAAAAAAGUUGAACUACGUUUAUGACUUGAUCCCUACAUUAUAAAGGGUACGUAGGCAACUUAAAGGAAACUUUAAGUUUAGUCCACCAUUAUAAAAAAAAAA